AGAGAGGAGAACUGAAGUCCCGUUAUUCGCAAUGACGAGGUCAGGGGUUCGAUUCCCCUCGGCUCCACCA
rnacentral:tRNA from 1 species